rnacentral:rRNA from 1 species
GAUGAACGCUGGCGGCGUGCCUAAUACAUGCAAGUCGAGCGAACAGACGAGGAGCUUGCUCCUCUGACGUUAGCGGCGGACGGGUGAGUAACACGUGGAUAACCUACCUAUAAGACUGGGAUAACUUCGGGAAACCGGAGCUAAUACCGGAUAAUAUAUUGAACCGCAUGGUUCAAUAGUGAAAGACGGUUUUGCUGUCACUUAUAGAUGGAUCCGCGCCGCAUUAGCUAGUUGGUAAGGUAACGGCUUACCAAGGCAACGAUGCGUAGCCGACCUGAGAGGGUGAUCCGCCACACUGGAACCGAGACCCGGUCCAGACUCCUUCGGGAGGCAGCAGUAGGGAAUCUUCCGCAAUGGGCGAAAGCCUGACGGAGCAACGCCGCGUGAGUGAUGAAGGUCUUCGGAUCGUAAAACUCUGUUAUUAGGGAAGAACAAAUGUGUAAGUAACUAUGCACGUCUUGACGGUACCUAAUCAGAAAGCCACGGCUAACUUCGUG